GACGAACCGUGCGAACGUUGUUCGGAAUCACUGGGCUUAAAGGGCGCGUAGGCGGACUGCCAAGUCCGGGGUGAAAUCCUCCGGCUUAACCGGAGAAUUGCCUGGGAUACUGGCGGUCUUGAGGGAGGUAGGGGCACGCGGAACUUCCGGUGGAGCGGUGAAAUGCGUUGAUAUCGGAAGGAACGCCGGUGGCGAAAGCGGCGUGCUGGCCCUCUUCUGACGCUGAGGCGCGAAAGCCAGGGAAGCGAACGGG
rnacentral:rRNA from 1 species